AGAGUUUGAUUAUGGCUCAGAACGAACGCUGGCGGCGCGUUUUAAGCAUGCAAGUCGAGCGGCAAGGGUCUUCGGGCCCCUAGAGCGGCGGACGGGUGAGUAACACGUGGACAAUCUGCCCCCCGGCCGGGGAUAGCCCAGGGAAACCUGGAUUAAUACCGGAUGAGACGGGACCCGCGGAGGCGGGAUCCGGGAAAGGCGCUGCGGCGCCGCCGGGGGAUGAGUCUGCGUCCCAUUAGCUUGACGGCGGGGUAACGGCCCACCGUGGCGACGAUGGGUAGCCGGCCUGAGAGGGUGGACGGCCACAUUGGAACUGGGACACGGUCCAGACUCCUACGGGAGGCAGCAGCUAAGAAUCUUCCGCAAUGGGCGAAAGCCUAACGGAGCGACGCCGCGUGAACGAAGAAGGCCGUGAGGUUGUAAAGUUCUUUUCGGGAGGGGGAACAACCGUGGCAGGGAAUGGCCGCGGGAUGACGUGAAUCCCGGAAUAAGCCCCGGCUAACUACGUGCCAGCAGCCGCGGUAACACGUAGGGGGCGAGCGUUGUUCGGAAUCAUUGGGCGUAAAGGGCGUGCAGGCGGUCCUGCAAGUCCGGCGUGAAAGACCCCGGCCCAACCGGGGGGGCGCGCUGGAAACUGCAGGGCUUGAGUACAGGAGGGGAUGCCGGAAUUCCAGGUGUAGGGGUGAAAUCUGUAGAUAUCUGGAGGAACACCAAUGGCGAAGGCAGGCAUCUGGCCAUGUACUGACGCUGAGACGCGAAGGUGCGGGGAGCAAACAGGAUUAGAUACCCUGGUAGUC
rnacentral:rRNA from 1 species